rnacentral:rRNA from 1 species
AUACGAAAGGUGCAAGCGUUGUUCGGAUUUACUGGGCGUAAAGAGAUCGUAGGUGGUUUGUUAAGUUGGAUGUGAAAUCCCGGGGCUCAACCUCGGAACUGCAUCCAAAACUGGCAGACUCGAGUUCGGGAGGGGUAAGCGGAAUUCCGUGUGUAGCAGUGAAAUGCGUAGAUAUACGGAGGAACACCUGAGGCGAAGGCGGCUUACUGGACCGAUACUGACACUGAGGAUCGAAAGCGUGGGUAGCAAACAGGAUUAGAAACCCUUGUAGUCC